GCCUAUGAAUCAUUGUUGAAUUUAUUGAGAUAUUAAAGAAAAAUUUAGGUCGUUAUGUUUUGGAUUUAAAUUAUUGACUAAUUAUUCCGCUGUUGUUUUAAGAUAGCAUGAUAAGAUGCCUUGCAUGCUUAUGGGAAGAGUUUUCUAUGAGUAUGCGGCGGUUGCCAUAACCCUCGAUUCACAAUCUCGGAUCGGGGGCGUGACAAUUAUAGUGGUAUCAGAGCAUAAGUGGAUGAAUUGUGAAACAUAUAAUCAGAUAUAGAAUAGGUGUAAGUAGAUAGACACCAGGGACAUUAUAGUGUAGAUCUUUGAUGAUUGUAGUGGGAGAAAUAUUUAAAAAUUUUGAUUAAACAUUGAGAUUAUGUAUGAAAGGAUCACAAGAGAUUAUGACAUAUAGCAUUUGAAAUAUG
rnacentral:lncRNA from 1 species